rnacentral:sRNA from 1 species
AUGUCAAAGCUAAAACUUUCUUCUACAAAUGCCACCGCCUGGUGUGGGAUCUCUCAGCACUCUCUCAUGGAUCUUCCGUGGGUUCAAGAGCUCCAUUUCACUCACCUGAAAAUUGCUAUAACCAUUGAUCGUACGUUUCCUGUCAUGCCCUCAGGGCCUAUUCCUGCUCAGCCAGGUGACACCCUUUACCUGUCUAACCUCGAUGACAUGAUCGGAGCACGUGUUUUCACUCCUACAAUAUAUUUUUAUGAGCCUGCAGCUGGCAUGAAUUCCAGCCAAAAACCUGUCAUGAAAAUACUAUGUGAUUCUCUUGCUGAAGUACUAGUCCCUUACUAUCCUUUAUCAGGCAGGCUUAGAGAGACCAAGAAUGGUAAGUUAGAAGUGUUUUUUGGACCAAACCAAGGAGUACUCAUGGUUGAGGCACACUGUAAAAUGGCCUUAGCAGAUUUAGGAGACGUCACAGUGCCAAACCCUGGUUGGGAACCCUUGAUCUUCAAGUUCCCUGAUGAGGAGCCAUACAAAGUUCUUGACAUGCCAUUAGUCAUAGCUCAGGUAACCCUUUUUAGCUGUGGUGGCUUUAGCCUAGGAUUGAGACUUUGCCAUUGUAUUUGUGAUGGACUUGGUGCCAUGCAAUUGUUUAGGGCAUGGGCUGCCACAGCAAAAGCAGGUACCAUAAUAGCAAAACCUGAGCCAUGUUGGGAAAGGGAAAUCUUUCUACCUCGCAACCCUCCACUGGUCAAAUUUCCACAUGUUGAGUUUAUGAGAAUUGAAGAUGGCUCAAGCCUGACUAUGACUUUGUGGCAAACCAAGCCUGUUCAGAAGUGUUACCGGAUUAGCCAGGAAUUCCAGUCUCAUCUGAAAACUCUGGCUCAACCAGAUGACGUAUGCACUACCUUUGAUGCUAUGGCUGCACAUAUAUGGAGAUCAUGGGUGAAAGCACUUGAUGUCAGACCACUAGACUAUGAGCUUAGGCUUACAUUUUCGGUCAAUGCUCGCCAAAAGCUGCAUAACCCACCAUUAAAAGAAGGGUUUUAUGGCAAUGUGGUGUGUGUGGCUUGUGCAACAAGUACUGUCUCAGAGCUUGUGAAUGGCCAGAUUUCAGACACAACCCGUGUAGUUCGUGAAGCUCGACUCAAUGUUUCAGAGGAGUAUUUGAGGUCUACAGUGGAUUACAUUGAGGCAGUCAGGCCAAAAAGGCUUGAAUUUGGAGGGAAAUUGACAAUUACCCAAUGGACUAGAUUUUCCAUUUAUGAGUCUGCAGAUUUUGGAUGGGGAAGGCCAGUAUAUGCAGGUCCUAUAGACCUGACUCCCACCCCACAAGUUUGUGUUAUCCUCCCAGGAGGAAAGGCUGAUCAUCAUGGGACAGUGGUGGUAUGCAUUUGCUUGCCAGAGGCCGCUAUUGAUAAAUUUACUGAGUAUUUGUGUAUGAUGGAUUCAAGCAAUGCGAGUCAUAUAUAAAUACUAAUAAGCUACUACAUUAAGAUGAUGCAUUGAAAAUAAAGCAUCAAAGCAUGAUGUAUAGAGUUCAAAAUGAUAAAUACUCAGUUCGGUUUGUCUCAACAAGGUUGAUGUUUUAAUGGCAACAUCUUGGAGAAUAAAUUCAUUUUGAUUUACUACCUGGUGCUUGCUCCCCUUCCCAUCUGUUUUAGAUUUCCUUCAAAGAGAAGUUGGGAAGGUAAGACGUAGCUACAUUCUAGUUCUAUGUUUCAAUUAGCAUUUGAUUGUCAAAGAAUCUUAUGAGACAAAUGUUUAUAUGCUUACUUUUCAGUAUGUUGAAUAGAUGUAAAAGACCAUUUUGCAUAGUUCCCCUCUCCCUUCUCUUUAAGGAUUUGAGAUUUAAGAGUGUCCCCCCCCCCCCCCCCCUCCCCCCCCCCCCCCCCCCCCAACUAGUAGUUUGGUGGUGUGCUCAUUAGUCUAGGGCAUGACGUAAACUCAAUGGUUUUAAGUUCAAUUUACCACACUAUCGAUUUAUGGGGUUUUCGGAAUAUCUCAUGGAUGGGGUGAAAUAGUCUAGCCAAAGACAACACACCAUUUUCUUAUAUAUAUGAAGUCACAGUCACACUUGUAGGUAUAUAGAAAAUUUUAGUCCUAAAAAGCUUUAAAAGAUCACCAUAAUGAGGUUUUUAACUAGAAGCAAGACUUACCAAGUUCCAACCUUGUGGAUGGUCGGAUGGUUGGUCAAAACUCAGAAGUGCUCCAAUGGUCUAGUUAGAUACAGAUACUUAAAAGGAAAUUUUAAGAGUGGUGGAUUAGAACUUCUCAUACCUUUGAUAUAACUUGGUUUGGGUAUUUAUAAGGGUUAUCCUAAGAGCACAAUGAGAGAUUUCCCUCUCCAUUGAAUUUAGAGAUUAGGUUAGACAUCCCAUGUAUCUUAGGGAGUCCUUGGAGGAGUGGGUGAAAAUCGACACCCCUCUAGUCCCUUUGGGUCACAAGAUAAAUGACAAAACUUAGGUAUAAUUUUUUAUGUAUAAUAUCUUAGGUUUCCCGUUGAAUACAACUACAUAAUUAUACUGGUCAAUACAAUAUGGUAGUGUGCAGAUAUAAAUAAAUGAACAAAUAAAUACAAUAAAGAUAGUGUUAGCUUGUACUUCAAAAAAAGAAGAAGAUAGUGUGAGCUUUUUCAAGAAUGAUUAAAUUCAACCAUAUAGUCCAUUGGUCAAUCCACCCGAAGGAAACUAAAAUAUUGUAACUAGUCAAAUAAUAUUAAAUACAACUGUGGCAGUUGUCAACAAUAAAUGCUAAAAUGAAAGGGGUUUGUGCUUUUAUAACGUCCCCUUGUUCGAAUCAGAAUAAUUCCCUAUUUGUUCAUCUUUUGAUGAUUAAAACUGAAAGUUGAAAAAAAUUACUUUUAAUUCAACCCUUGAAUCAAAACUUAUAACUUCUAACUUCAAACUUAUAACUUUUUUUACUAUUUUACCUUCUCAAUUUUUUCUUCUCAUAAUGACAUGGUGUAAUAGCUCACCCAAUCCAAAUCCGCUGUAGGGCCUAGGCUAUCAUUACCAUUUUACCUUUGACCACACUGUGCUCAAUCAACUGGCCUGUGAUCUUAACCUCAAAAUUUUCAUCCAACUUCAAGUGCACUUGUAAGUGGUUUUAACUAUUGCGAAGCUUGUAUCCUUCAUUAAAUACUCAUUAUAUCAGACUUACGCAAAUGUAGACUUAGCAAAAUAGACCCAAAUUUUAUUUUUUGGAGUAAAUAGUAGUACUUAUUAAAACACACACAAAAAAUAAUAAUACUAAUGUUUUAAACCGAGUUUAGACUCAAACUUAUUAACUUGACUUGAACCCAACCUUAAGAAAAACAGGUCACCCUGUACCAACCUAUUUUUUAAAGAAGGUAAUUUUUUUUUUUAAAAGAAAAAACUUUUUGUUUUUUGUUUUCUAAAUUUCGAAGAUGAUAUGCAAAGUUAGAUGUUUUUUCUUUUAGCGUUGGUCUGUGGCAUUUAUUAUUUAUAGUAAUAACAUACCGCACCUUAAAAAAAUUGUGGUCCGAGAUCUUUAGUAUUUUUUUUUUCUCGAUUAUAGUGUUGAUAUCAUUUGUAAAUUAUACACAGUGUAAACUUAAGAAUUUAUAUAUUAUUUAGAAUUUAUUUUUGAGUACUUUGUUAUUUGUUUUGUUUUUGUCUUUUUUUUUGAAAGGAAGACAAACACAAAGACAAUACGAUCAUUGUUGUUAUCUUUCUUAUUGCAUGUAAAAAAAAUAUGGGUCAACCUGUACCUUAAUUAACUUGACAACCUGAUUGAUCCAACUGACUCACAACUUAUUUAAGAUGAUCCAAAACUAAUCUCAUACGUAACCUGACCCAACAUGACCUGUUUGGUAGGUCUACCCUACACAUGUCUACUAAAAAUAAAAAGAACCGAUAUAUAAAAAAAAAUUGAAAAUUUUAAUGCUGUCUAUAAUUCCACUAGUAAAUAUAUAUUUCAAAAUCUCUUAUAUUUAAUAAAUUUGCCUACUAAUAAUUGUCUUAAACUUUUUCCAAAUUGUUAACAAUGUAAAAUAAAUAAAUAGAAAUACAACUAUUUUAUAACAUUAUAUACAAAACUAUUGAUAUUUAGUAAACGGUUAUUGACAAGUGGUAUUCUUGGUGAUCUUAAAUGAAAGCCAGUAAAGAAGAAAAUAUAGAAAAAGAAAAAUAUUUAGAUAGACAGGCGCGGAGGGCGCGUGAAGCAGUAGGUAAAUAGAGUAGGAUCCCACACUAUAUAUAUCCAUCACCAUCAGCCUCGGGAUGAUCACUCAACAUCACCUAUAAAAAUACACGUCAUUAUUCAUUCAUUACAAGCUUUUUCCUUUUACUUUUCUCCGCUCCAAUACAAUCCAAUCACCGUUCAAUUUCCCCAAUUCAAGCUUCUCACACUCUUCUCUCUCUCUCUCUCUCUCUCUCAUUCUCUCAUCCCAACCGUUCGACUCACUCGGUAACUCGGACGAUUCUUGCGGACUAACUCACUGUCUCUGUCUCUCUUUUCGCUGUUCGAAAAAGCUCGAGGGGGCUCACUAGGGUUAACGCUGCGCUGCGAUCCUUAAACAAAAAACGCAACGGUUUUCGUGCGCUGCGAUCCUUAUUACUCCGUUUGUUUGCUGAGAAAAAAAGAAAAGGUGAAAGUGAAUAGCAAGUAAGGAACCUAAUUUUUUUAUUUAUUUACUUUUUCACAGUUCUUGAAAGCUACGAAGAUAGAAGAAAUCUCUUCUGAGUUGCACUUUUCUCAUUUGCUUACUCUCUGUUUUUCUCUCCCCUAUUUGCUUAUAUUUGAUUAUCAUCUGUUUGCUUGCUGAGAAAAUGGAAAACAAGAUUUUAGUCUCUGUGAUUUUGCUUUUAAUCAUUCAACUGCGUUAAGUUUCUUUUAAUUUAAUUUUUUAAUUUAUAUUCAGGAAGACAUGGUAGAGACUAAAACCUUUGAAAAUUGAUGGCUAUGAUCAUAGUGAGAAUUAUACCAUCAAAAAACGUAGAAGUAUUAUAGGAUUUUCUAUAUAUGUAUGUGCAUGUGUGAAAGCAAGUAUGAAAUUUAUGGAAUUGUGAAAGUGAGAUUAUAAAGUUUAUUCUUCAUGAUAGUUACUUUGAAUUCUGGAUGUGAAUUGUAGAAGAUUAUAAAAUAUUUAGCUUGGAAUCGUUUGAACUGUAUAUUACUUUUUCUUUCUAUCUUUUUGGGUUAUUAUAUUGCUUGCUUGAAUGCAGAGGGAAUUGGUGGAAAUAAAAUAGAAAAAAGAAUAUAAAUUAAAAACUGAAAAUUGAAAACUAUAUUAGUUUAUUCAUUAUUUUUACAUUGAUUAUCAGCCUGGAGCGCACUCAAUAUAACUUUGAAUAUUGAGUUGCAAAUUUUUAGAUAUAUAAAAAUACCUGUGCCUUGCGUUAUAUACUAAUUCUUUCGUGGUUAGUUGAGGAGGGUUGCAACAGCAACAAUAAUGUCUUAGUGCAAAAUUUUGGGGUCUGCUAUAUAUAAAAAUAUGUAUUAUGCUCUACCUGCAAUAGAAAUAGAUCCAUAUUUUGUGGUUAAAGUGAUAGCUUGGCAUCCUUUGUGGUGCCCCAUGUCUGUGGUUCGAACAGAAGAUAGAGCCAUAUAUAUAUUUGACCACAUUUCUUAUGGAAGGAGAAAGUGUCAUAUGAUCUUGACUCAAUGGUAGGUAUCAUAUCCACCAAAUUAGGGUGGGUUUCUAAAGAAACACAGUUUAAUGAAUCUCUGUAUGCACUAUCUAUUAAACAUUUGGUAAAUGAUGAUAGUUCUUGAAAUACAAAUUUAUAUAUGUCCAGUGUUUUAAGAAAAUAUCAGGAAAUUAUUAAAAUAUUUGGCCUUGAUAUGUGGCACCCAGCAAUGCUGAUAAUUUAUUUCCUAUAUGCUUACCAGAUAUAGGUGCUGGGUUUUUAAACAUACUAUUUAUUAAGAUAAUUUUACGGAAUCAUUGAUGUCUUUGGUUUUCACAUAUUUUCAAUAUGCAAUCUCAUACAGGGAUAUUUGUAUAUAUUGAAGACCAUCUGGACUUUAUAGAUUGUUAUGUAUUAUUUUUCUUGGUUGGAGUUUUUAUUGCUAGUGACGGUACUAAAUUCUUCUACUUGUGUUCUUUCCACAGUUUUGAGUUUUUUUAA